CCUAACUGCCUAUGUGAUGAUGACUGGGAAGCCAGCUUUGUGAGCUGGGCUGGUGCAGACAAAACUGAGGCAAAAGUUGACCUUCCUCCAGUUUCUGCCCCCAUUCCACCCACCCCUUCACAUCCUGCUGCCACACAACAGCGCUGGCCUCUCCACCCUUCCGAGAGAAAUGUGUGGACAAAGAUGUCCAUCAUACGAUUAUUUAUAAAAAUGAACAUUAAUCUUUAACUAUGGGGGGACAACUUAACCAUGCCUCAAAAAUGUGAUAGAAGACUCUACAGAUGUUAGAAUGGAUCAGCAUGAAGAUGAGAGUAUGGAAAGAUGUCUGUAGGCUACUUCUAAGCAAAAUAAGCAGAACACAAAAUUGUAAACUCUGUGAUUAGAACUAAGUAAAAAAACAAACUGUGUAUUUCUCUGGCUGAAGGUUAAAAAGAUCCAUAGACGAACUGUGUAAGAGUAGGUAGGAUUGUGCCUUGGACUGUUGUCUCUUUAAAUUCUUUCAAUGUUACUGUAAUGUUGUGUUAAUAAUAAAAAUGUUGUAUAAAGUUAAAGUGCCAGUCCACUGUCCCAUUCCAAGUAAGUUUAUGACAAGCUGAUCAUGGCCCAUGUCUACCUUCCCCUCGUUACGAAUUUGGAUCAGAAAGAAGCCUCUUAGGAAGGAGAGGAGCCUUCUGAAUUGAAGACGAGACACUGGCAAGUGAGGUCUUGGAUGGGACAGAGUGCAGCAAGGUCUCUGCUGCCCUCACACGGGGUAUGUCUCCUCACAGGGCUGGAGAAUUCCGGGGCUCUGCCACCCAUAGAGACCGCUGCUCUUUUCUGGGCUCCUCCCAUGGGCGGGGUACCCUGGGGUCAAGAGGAAUAUGAGAGAUGGCACCAUGGAGGCUACAGACAGACCAGGCUCAAUCCAGGCUGUGAUAAGGGCUACAAAGGCAGGCAGAGAGUCCCUGCGUCCCAGAAGCUGAGGAGGAUUUUGACAGAUGAAGAAGAGCUCAGAUUUGGCCAAACUGAAAUAGGUGAGGCCCGCGCUGGGAGGCAGGUGCUCCAGGAGAGAAAGCACGGACUCUGCAGACUGAGUUUAAAUCCUAGCGCCAUCACUACCCAGCUGGAGGGAAAACCAGGGCAGGCUGUCUCCAAAUCCAUGAUGCUCCCACAGAACCACUUGAUGGGAAGGACAGAAAGAGUCUGUGAAUCAGGGCAAAAGGCAUAGAAAUGCCAGGCGGUUUCCAGGAGAGUGCAAGCAUGAUGCUGUCUUGGUUCACCCACACUCCUGUCCCACCUCCAACAACUCUGCUAUGAGAUGAAGCCAGGCAUUGCAGUUUUCGAAGCUCCCUCAGGUGAUUUGAAUGUGCAGCAAAACACAUCUCACCUGGAGGCCUCUCCACAGGAGGCUGGCAUCACACCGGCUGGUGAUGCUUUUGGGGUUUUGUCAGAUUUUCAUUCCUCCUGAGCCUGUGAGGAAACAGAACCAGGAGUGACCAGCGAGACGCAGCCCAGUGGCAGAGUUGAGAUCUCUGUGACCGGCAGAGGGGCCCUGGCUGAGAGAGGGUACCGGUUGCCUUCUGCCUGCCUGCCCCAGGCAAGGAUGAGCUCUCCCCUGAGGGGGAUCCACAGCCUGUGCUAGCAGUGGGCACCAGCAGACCCCCCAGCACUCCGAAUCCUGGGACCCCCACGCACUGUUGGCCAUUGGGAGCACUCACAACAGGAAGCCAAACCACUUACAGCAUCCUGAGAUAUUAACCAGACAUGGAGUCAUCCAAGUGACCUAUCACCCAGCUCGGCAGUUUAGCAAGCUGUCUGUCUCUCCCUGUUUCUGAGCACACAUUCCUGCCUGCUCCACACCCAGAGGCUGAAGAGAUACAAGGAGAUGAUGACUGCAGGUAUUCCCACUGCCAGUUGGUACCCUUUGACCGUGGUCUUCAGGGGCUGGGGGUCACCCAGUGUGAGCUCCAGAAUAUUGGCUAAUAAAAGU